GCUUUUUCUUUCACCGGAGCUUGCUCCACCGAAAGAAAAAGAGUGGCGAACGGGUGAGUAACACGUGGGUAACCUGCCCAUCAGAAGGGGAUAACACUUGGAAACAGGUGCUAAUACCGUAUAACACUAUUUUCCGCAUGGAAGAAAGUUGAAAGGCGCUUUUGCGUCACUGAUGGAUGGACCCGCGGUGCAUUAGCUAGUUGGUGAGGUAACGGCUCACCAAGGCCACGAUGCAUAGCCGACCUGRGAGGGUGAUCGGCCACACUGGGACUGAGACACGGCCCAGACUCCUACGGGAGGCAGCAGUAGGGAAUCUUCGGCAAUGGACGAAAGUCUGACCGAGCAACGCCGCGUGAGUGAAGAAGGUUUUCGGAUCGUAAAACUCUGUUGUUAGAGAAGAACAAGGAUGAGAGUAGAACGUUCAUCCCUUGACGGUAUCUAACCAGAAAGCCACGGCUAACUACGUGCCAGCAGCCGCGGUAAUACGUAGGUGGCAAGCGUUGUCCGGAUUUAUUGGGCGUAAAGCGAGCGCAGGCGGUUUCUUAAGUCUGAUGUGAAAGCCCCCGGCUCAACCGGGGAGGGUCAUUGGAAACUGGGAGACUUGAGUGCAGAAGAGGAGAGUGGAAUUCCAUGUGUAGCGGUGAAAUGCGUAGAUAUAUGGAGGAACACCAGUGGCGAAGGCGGCUCUCUGGUCUGUAACUGACGCUGAGGCUCGAAAGCGUGGGGAGCGAACAGGAUUAKAUACCCUG
rnacentral:rRNA from 1 species